GAAAUGCGAUAAGUAUGUGAAUUGCAGAAUUCAGUGAAUCAUCGAAUCUUUGAACGCACAUUGCGCCCGCCAGUAUUCUGGCGGGCAUGCCUGUUCGAGCGUCAUUUCAACCAUCAAGCCCCCGGCUUGUGUUGGGGACCUGCGGCUGCCCGCAGGCCCUGAAAAACAGUGGCGGGCUCGCUGUCACACCGAGCGUAGUAGCAUACAUUCUCGCUCAGGGCGUGCUGCGGGUUCCGGCCGUUAAACGACCUUCAUAACCCAAGGUUGACCUCGGAUCAGGUAGGAAGACCCGCUGAACUUAAGC
rnacentral:misc_RNA from 1 species